ACAAUGAUACUUCUGUCCAGUCACAGUCUCAAGCAAUGAGGGCAGCCACAUGAGAACCAUGCGGGGGUGAGAGUCCCAUGA
rnacentral:ncRNA from 1 species